UACGUAGGUGACAAGCGUUGUCCGGAUUGACUGGGCGUAAAGCGCACGCAGGCGGUUGCGCGCGUGGGGGGUGAAAUCUGGCCGCUUAACGGCCAGGCGCCAUCCCAUACGGCGCGACUGGAGUGAUGCAGAGGUCGAUGGAAUUGCCGGUGUAGUGGUGAAAUGCGUAGAGAUCGGCAGGAACACCCAGGGGGAAACCAGUCGACUGGGCAUCUACUGACGCUGAGGUGCGAGAGCGUGGGGAGCGAACCGG
rnacentral:rRNA from 1 species